AAAAGUGGAAAGAUUUGGAUUGAUUGCAACCACGUACAAAAAAUGCUAAAACAACAU
rnacentral:ncRNA from 1 species